UGGGGAAUUUUGGACAAUGGGGGAAACCCUGAUCCAGCCAUCCCGCGUGUGCGAUGAAGGCCUUCGGGUUGUAAAGCACUUUUGGUAGGAAAGAAACGUCAUGGGUUAAUACCCCGUGAAACUGACGGUACCUGCAGAAUAAGCACCGGCUAACUACGUGCCAGCAGCCGCGGUAAUACGUAGGGUGCAAGCGUUAAUCGGAAUUACUGGGCGUAAAGCGUGCGCAGGCGGUUCGGAAAGAGAGAUGUGAAAUCCCAGAGCUCAACUUUGGAACUGCAUUUAUAACUACCGGGCUAGAGUGUGUCAGAGUGAGGUUGAAUUCCGCGUGUAGCAGUGAAAUGCGUAGAUAUACGGAGCAACACCGAUGGCGAAGGCAGCCUCCUGGAAUAACACUGACGCUCAUGCACGAAAGCGUGGGGAGCAAACAGG
rnacentral:rRNA from 1 species